UUUAAACUUGAGAGUUUGAUCAUGGCUCAGAACGUACGCUGGCGGCACGCCUAACACAUGCAAGUCGAACGGAGUAGCAAUACUUAGUGGCAGACGGGUGAGUAACAUGUAGGUAUCUGCCCUUUGGCCUGGAAUAACACGAGGAAACUUGUGCUAAUACCGGAUAAGUCUUUACGGAGAAAGCUUUAUGCACCAUUGGAUGAGCCUGCACUUGAUUAGUUAGUUGGUAGGGUAAUGGCCUACCAAGACUUUGAUCAAUAGCUGAUUUGAGAGGAUGAUCAGCCACAUUGGGACUGAGACACGGCCCAAACUCCUACGGGAGGCAGCAGUGGGGAAUCUUGCACAAUGGAGGAAACUCUGAUGCAGCGAUGCCGCGUGAGUGAAGAAGGCCCUUGGGUUGUAAAGCUCUUUCGUCGGGGAAGAAAAUGACUGUACCCGAAUAAGAAGGUCCGGCUAACUUCGUGCCAGCAGCCGCGGUAAUACGAAGGGACCUAGCGUAGUUCGGAAUUACUGGGCUUAAAGAGUUCGUAGGUGGUUGAAAAAGUUGGUGGUGAAAUCCCAGAGCUUAACUCUGGAACUGCCAUCAAAACUUUUCAGCUAGAGUUUGAUAGAGGAAAGCAGAAUUUCUAGUGUAGAGGUGAAAUUCGUAGAUAUUAGAAAGAAUACCAAUUGCGAAGGCAGCUUUCUGGAUCAUUACUGACACUGAGGAACGAAAGCAUGGGUAGCGAAGAGGAUUAGAUACCCUCGUAGUCCAUGCCGUAAACGAUGUGUGUUAGACGUUGGAAAUUUAUUUUCAGUGUCGCAGCGAAAGCGAUAAACACACCGCCUGGGGAGUACGACCGCAAGGUUAAAACUCAAAUGAAUUGACGGGGACCCGCACAAGUAGUGGAGCAUGUGGUUUAAUUCGAAGAUACGCGCAGAACCUUACCAACACUUGACAUGUUCGUCGCGACUUUAAGAGAUUAAAGUUUUCGGUUCGGCCGGACGAAACACAGGUGCUGCAUGGCUGUCGUCAGCUCGUGUCGUGAGAUGUUGGGUUAAGUCCCGCAACGAGCGCAACCCUCACUUUUAGUUGCCAUCAUUAAGUUGGGCACUCUGAAAGAACUGCCAGUGAUAAGCUGGAGGAAGGUGGGGAUGACGUCAAGUCCUCAUGGCCCUUACGUGUUGGGCUACACACGUGCUACAAUGGUAUUUACAACAGGAAGCAAGACGGCGACGUUAAGCAAAUCCUUAAAAAAUACCUCAGUUCGGAUUGCACUCUGCAACUCGAGUGCAUGAAGCUGGAAUUACUAGUAAUCGUGGAUCAGCGUGCCACGGUGAAUGCGUUCCCGGGUCUUGUACACACCGCCCGUCACACCAUGGGAGUUGGUUCUACCUUAAGGCAAGGCUUAAAACCCUUGACCACGGUAUAGUCAGCGACUGGGGUGAAGUCGUAACAAGGUAGCCGUAGGGGAACCUGCGGCUGGAUUACCUCCUUUCUAA
rnacentral:rRNA from 1 species